AAUAGAUACCCUGGUAGUCCAUGCCGUAAACGUUGGGCGCUAGAUGUGGGGACCAUUCCACGGUUUCCGUGUCGCAGCUAACGCAUUAAGCGCCCCGCCUGGGGAGUACGGCCGCAAGGCUAAAACUCAAAGGAAUUGACGGGGGCCCGCACAAGCGGCGGAGCAUGCGGAUUAAUUCGAUGCAACGCGAAGAACCUUACCAAGGCUUGACAUAUACGAGAACGCUCUAGAAAUAGGGAACUCUUUGGACACUCGUAUACAGGUGGUGCAUGGUUGUCGUCAGCUCGUGUCGUGAGAUGUUGGGUUAAGUCCCGCAACGAGCGCAACCCUCGUUCUAUGUUGCCAGCGGUUCGGCCGGGAACUCAUAGGAGACUGCCGGGGUCAACUCGGAGGAAGGUGGGGAUGACGUCAAAUCAUCAUGCCCCUUAUGUCUUGGGCUUCACGCAUGCUACAAUGGCCGGUACAAAGGGCUGCAAUACCGUAAGGUGGAGCGAAUCCCAAAAAGCCGGUCUCAGUUCGGAUUGAGGUCUGCAACUC
rnacentral:rRNA from 1 species